GAACGUACGCUGGCGGCACGCCUUAUACAUGCAAGUCGAACGAAGUAGCAAUACUUAGUGGCAGACGGGUGAGUAACAUGUGGGUAUCUUCCCUUUGGUGAGGAAUAACACGAGGAAACUUGUGCUAAUACCUCAUAAGUCUUUACGGAGAAAGCUUUAUGCGCCAAUGGAUGAGCCCGCACUUGAUUAGUUUGUUGGUGGGGUAAUGGCCUACCAAGGCUUUGAUCAAUAGCUGAUUUGAGAGGAUGAUCAGCCACAUUGGGACUGAGACACGGCCCAAACUCCUACGGGAGGCAGCAGUAAGGAAUCUUGCACAAUGGAGGAAACUCUGAUGCAGCGAUGCCGCGUGAGUGAAGAAGGCCUUUGGGUUGUAAAGCUCUUUCGUCGGGGAAGAAAAUGACUGUACCCGAAUAAGAAGGUCCGGCUAACUUCGUGCCAGCAGCCGCGGUAAUACGAAGGGACCUAGCGUAGUUCGGAAUUACUGGGCUUAAAGAGUUCGUAGGUGGUUAAAAAAGUUGGUGGUGAAAUCCCAGAGCUUAACUCUGGAACUGCCAUCAAAACUUUUUAGCUAGAGUAUGAUAGAGGAAAGCAGAAUUUCUAGUGUAGAGGUGAAAUUCGUAGAUAUUAGAAAGAAUACCAAUUGCGAAGGCAGCUUUCUGGAUCAUUACUGACGCUGAGGAACGAAAGCAUGGGUAGCGAAGAGGAUUAGAUACCCUCGUAGUCCAUGCCGUAAACGAUGUGUGUUAGACGUUGGAAAUUUAUUUUUCAGUGUCGCAGCGAAAGCGAUAAACACACCGCCUGGGGAGUACGACCGCAAGGUUAAAACUCAAAUGAAUUGACGGGGACCCGCACAAGUAGUGGAGCAUGUGGUUUAAUUCGAAGAUACGCGCAGAACCUUACCAACACUUGACAUGUUCGUCGCGACUCUAAGAGAUUAGAGUUUUCGGUUCGGCCGGACGAAACACAGGUGCUGCAUGGCUGUCGUCAGCUCGUGUCGUGAGAUGUUGGGUUAAGUCCCGCAACGAGCGCAACCCCUACUUUUAGUUGCUAUCAUUUAGUUGGGCACUCUGAAAGAACUGCCGGUGAUAAGCUGGAGGAAGGUGGGGAUGACGUCAAGUCCUCAUGGCCCUUACGUGUUGGGCUACACACGUGCUACAAUGGCAUCUACAAUAGGAAGCAAGGUGGCAACAUCAAGCAAAUCCUAAAAAGAUGCCUCAGUUCGGAUUGCACUCUGCAACUCGAGUGCAUGAAGCUGGAAUUACUAGUAAUCGCGGAUCAGCGCGCCGCGGUGAAUACGUUCCCGGGUCUUGUACACACCGCC
rnacentral:rRNA from 1 species